rnacentral:rRNA from 1 species
GAAAUAGAACCUGAAACCGGAUGCUUACAAGCAGUUGGAGCCUCUUUAUGAGGUGACAGCGUACCUUUUGUAUAAUGGGUCAGCGACUUAAUCUCAUUAGCAAGCUUAAGCCACAUAGGUGUAGGCGAAGCGAAAGCGAGUCUGAAUAGGGCGAUUUAGUUAAUGGGAUUAGACUCGAAACCGAGUGAUCUAGUCAUGAGCAGGUUGAAAGUGAAGUAAAAUUCACCGGAGGACCGAACCCACUAGCGUUGAAAAGCUACGGGAUGACUUGUGAUUAGGGGUGAAAGGCCAACCAAACUCGGAAAUAGCUAGUUCUCCGCGAAAACUAUUUAGGUAGUGCGUCGUGUGAAUCUUGUCGGGGGUAGAGCACUGAAUGGGCUAGGGGGAAGCAAUUCCUACCAAACCUAAUCAAACUCCGAAUACCGAUAAGUCUGCACGGCAGACAGUCCAUGGGUGCUAAGGUCCUUGGACGAGAGGGAAACAGCCCAGAUCAACAGCUAAGGUCCCCAAAUAAUGAUUAAGUGUGAAAGGGAGUGGGAACUCCAAGACAGCCAGGAGGUUGGCUUAGAAGCAGCCAUCCUUUAAAGAAAGCGUAACAGCUCACUGGUCUAAUUAAGAGAUCCUGCACCGAAAAUGUAACGGGGCUCAAAUCAUUUACCGAAGCUUUGACAAUUACUUUGUAAUUGGGUAGCGGAGCGUUCUGUAAGCCUGUAAAGGUGAUGCGUAAGCAUUGCUGGAGGUAUCAGAAGUGCGAAUGCUGACAUGAGUAACGAUAAGAAAUGUGAAAGACAUUUCCGCCGAAAUCCUAAGGUUUCCUGCGUAAAGCUAAUCUGCGCAGGGUUAGUCGGCCCCUAAGGCGAGGGCGAAAGCCGUAGUCGAUGGGAAGCAGGUUAAUAUUCCUGCACCAGCUGGUAGUGACGGAUGAAGUAAAUUGUAAGUUCUUACUGGAUUGAACUUGCAGUGAAUUUGUCCCUGGAAAUAGCUCCAGCAUUAGACCGUACCAAAACCGACACAGGUAGGAGGGUAGAGAAUACCAAGGCGCUUGAGAGAACUAUGUUGAAGGAACUCGGCAAAUUACACUUGUAACUUCGGGAUAAAAGUGACCUGCUAUUGGGCAACCAGUAGGAGGUGGCACAGAAGAGGGGGUAGCGACUGUUUACUAAAAACAUAGCACUAUGCAAAGUCGAAAGACGACGUAUAUGGUGUGACGCCUGCCCGGUGCCGGAAGGUUAAUAGGAGGGGUGCAAGCCCUGAAUUGAAGCCCCGGUGAACGGCGGCCGUAACUAUAACGGUCCUAAGGUAGCGAAAUUCCUUGUCGGGUAAGUUCCGACCUGCACGAAUGGCGUAACGAUUUCCCCACUGUCUCCAACAUAGACUCAGUGAAAUUGAAUUCUCGGUUAAGAUGCCGAGUAACCGUGGUUAGACGGAAAGACCCCGUGCACCUUUACUGCAGCUUUGUAUUGGUAUUAGGGAACAGAUGUGUAGCAUAGGUGGGAGACUUUGAAGGAGUGGCGCUAGCCAGUCUGGAGUCACCAGUGAAAUACCACUCUUCUGUUCCUUGAUGCCUAACCAUACACCGU